rnacentral:rRNA from 1 species
CCUACGGGUGGCAGCAGUAGGGAAUCUUCCACAAUGGGCGAAAGCCUGAUGGAGCAACGCCGCGUGGGUGAAGAAGGUCUUCGGAUCGUAAAACCCUGUUGUUAGAGAAGAAAGUGCGUGAGAGUAACUGUUCACGUUCCGACGGUAUCUAACCAGAAAGCCACGGCUAACUACGUGCCAGCAGCCGCGGUAAUACGUAGGUGGCAAGCGUUAUCCGGAUUUAUUGGGCGUAAAGGGAACGCAGGCGGUCUUUUAAGUCUGAUGUGAAAGCCUUGGGCUUAACCGGAGUAGUGCAUUGGAAACUGGGGGACUGGAGUGCAGGAGGGGAGAGUGGAACUCCAUGUGUAGCGGGGAAAUGCGUAGAUAUAUGGAAGAACACCAGUGGCGAAAGCGGCUCUCUGGUCUGUAACUGACGCUGAGGUUCGAAAGCGUGGGUAGCAAACAGGAUUAGAUACCCGGGUAGUC